rnacentral:lncRNA from 1 species
AUGGGAUGCAUCUCUCUCUCGCAGGGAUAUAGAAGUUUUCAAAGGGAGGAAGGCAUUAAUGGAGAAUAUAUUUUGUUGGAAGAAGAGAAUAGUAGUGGAAAUGAAAAAGCAGUGGAAAGGGAGAGAAAGCCAAGGAAAAGAGUGUGUGGACCUAAGCAUGUUCUAUCUCAGCCAUGGGCAAACUUCGGCCCUCCAGGUGUUUUAGACUUCAACUCCUGGCUGUUAGGAAUUGUAGGAGUUGAAGUCCAAAACACCUGAAGGGCUGAAGUUUGCCAUGGCUAUUCUAUCUGAAGGGAGGUUGAUUUCUUCUGCUAGUUUAUAAUGCUAAUGGGAAAUUUUAUGUGGUUUUUAAAAUAUAAAUUUGUUGUAUUUGUAUGCUACCUUUUGCUCAGAGUGGGACCUAUGGUUAUUAUUAUUAUUAUUAUUAUUAUUAUUAUUAUUAUUAUUCCCUGCUUUAUCUCCCCAAAGGGGACUCAAAAUGGCUUGAUAUAAAAGCAUGAUGAUGAUGAUGAUGAUGAUGAUGAUGAUGAUGAUGAUGAUGAUGAUAACUUUAUUUUUAUAUCCCUUCUCCAUCACCCUGAAGGGACUUGUGACGGCUAACAUGGGGACAAGCCUGAUCCAACAAAGAUUAAAACCAAACAUAGAUUAAAACAUAUCUCAAUAAAAUCAAUGACAUUACAACAAGACAAUAACAUAAAAACAGCAUCAUCAACAGCAUUAGUAUACAAUUAAAAAUAUACAAAUAUGCAACCAUUAAAACAGAAUUAAACACAAAUAGCACUAAAAAAUCAUAGUUAAAAUCCAUCAAAACAUAUUCAAAGUUCUGUCCCCUAGACACCCCCCUCCCCAUGUUUUCUCUAUAUAAUGUUGAUUUCUUGCACACACAAAAAAUCAUUUUAUGCCUGGAGUAACAUUUUUAGCAUAAGAAGCCCAUGUUGUUGUUUUUGCCACGUAAAGUAUGUCCUGCACUGCAAAGUAUUUUGUCUCACAUGUCUCUUCUCAUUCAGCUUUCUCAAAGUUCAGGAAAACUGUUUUUAAUCUGUGGUAUUUGUGAAUACUCUUUUAAAAGCCAUUUACACAAUUGGUAAUCCUUUGAAUGGUGAUUCAUAUACUUUGACCCUGGACAUACACAGGAUUUAAGUCUUGAAUAUAUCAGGAUGUUAACUUGAAUUUAAUUCUCAGUAAUUAUUCUCACAUCAUUUGACGAAUAAAAAUAAUUAUAUUGCGGUGGUGCAACAAGCUAAACUGCUGAGCUGCUGAACUUGCUGACCAGAAGGUUGGUAAUUCGAAUCUGAGGGACAGGGUGAGCUCCUACUGUUAGACUCAGCUUCAUGCCGGCCAUGCAGUCAUGCUGG